rnacentral:lncRNA from 1 species
UUUUUUUUUCUUUUAGCAGGAUCAACCUCGAUUCCUCUUUUCCGCUCACAGUAAGCCCCAACAACUAACCGGACCGCACUCUGAUAGUGCACUUACUCGAUUUCAACCUCAGUCUGAAUUGUCUCAACCAGUUGACCAACUUGGCCAGAUCCACCAAAUGCCCCUCUUCUGUUAGGGACUUUGCUAUCACGUCAUCAACAUAGCAUUUGACUUCAUGAUGAAUCAUAUCAUGAAACAAAGUCACUCUGAUACGUGGCACCGGCAGUCCGCUUCUCUAGAGGACAGUC